UACAUCAAAUCACCCAAAAUUUAUGAACUUUGAAAGGGUUGUGCAGUUCAUACAAUUCUGAUAUGCCUUCGAUUUUUCAGUUGUGCUAUGUGGAUCCUGGAAUUGCUAGUUCAGAAGAAAUGGAGCAGCUGAAAACUAUUGAUAGUAUCCUGGUCAGGUUCUAGAAUGCUGGUGCGUACAAUGAGUAAUCGUGUCUUACUUUGUCACAUGCUAAUAGAGGAAAAUGAUACAGUUUGCUCGCUCAUGUAUAUGAAAAGUCAAAAGAUAAUCAAUGAUGUACUUGAUGAAAAGUUUAUGCAAAAUAACAAUGGAUUUACAUACCUGUAUUUUGUUGCUUCAUACGAAUUAGUAAUUUUGGCCUACUUAUUGACAUUCAACAUUGGUCGUCUCAAUUGUCUUUAUCUAAUUAUGCAAACAUUUGUUAAAUGGAGG
rnacentral:lncRNA from 1 species